AGGGACGCAAGAGGUUGCUUUUUCAUGCAGAGGGUCGUGUGUGUGUAUGGAAUGAGCUGCCAGAGGGAGUGAUUAUCCCGUAAUGCGUGUUAUCCCAGAACACACUCUUACUCGCUGCUUCAGCUGGAUGUCAGUGUGUGAGAGGGGUCUUGGACAGCGACAGCCCAGAGGGGCCAGGGGUUACUCUCCCCUUGGUGAAUGGACGAGUACCGUUCUCAGAUGGGUUUCUCUGUGUUUUACUGAAAGGGAGCGGUUUGUGUUGCAGACUCUCUGCCUGAGCUGAGCCAACGGCGGAGCAGCCUCCCAGCGCUGAGCGACGAACAGCCCGAAGACCUGGAGAGGAGACUCCUGCACCUCAGGGUGCAGCCAGAGGACCCGCUCCUUCCCCCCGUCAGCCUGGGUUCAGAUGGUCUCAAUGAUGCUGAUUACCUGACUGCAGCGGCUGAGUGGAUCAACGAGGCGCUGCAGCAGGAAGCCAGCCAGGAGUACGCAGCGGCGUUCAGUUGCUACCGCAACGGGGUGGACAUCCUACUGAAGGGAGUACAAGCUGACCUGAACACUGAACGGCGAGACGCAGUGAAGAAGAAGACGGCCGAGUAUUUGAAACACGCGGAAGCCAUUUUCAGUGAGCACCUGAUGGACGGUGUUGCUACAAACUCAUGACUCAGAAGGAUCGGAGAGAGUAGCAUCACAGUGAAGAUCACACAUCUGAGGAAUGGAUGAAGAGGCAUCUAUCUAGUGGUUUUCCAGUUGUGCCUGAAAAGGUCGAUGAACAGCUUUUUUAACUAAUUCCCUGCUUAGAGACACCAGCUCGGCGAAGAGGCUGGGGACACAGCUCCCCCGACGCUGAGAAUGGGGUUCUCCCCCACAUUCUCUCCCCCCUACAUUCUCACCCUAAUGUUGGGAUGUGUCAGUAAGGGGAGGGCAGGCUCCAAUGAGCUGCCCUCACUGUUGCAAAUGACUCUUGGGGAAGUGCGGUUUGUAUUGUGAGACGCCGGGCUGUCUGUCCCUGAGGUGAAAUUGGACAGUCCUCACUGCCAAAGCUAACAAAACAUUGCCUUUAUGUCCCUGAAUUUCUCCAGCUUGUACACUGAGGAAUUACCUUCAAUGGCAGUGACUGCUGUUCAGAAGUGAACAUGCCUUCGCAAUGCUUCCCACAGCCAGACCCCGCUUAAAGACAGUUCAUCAGCUGUUCGAGCCUUGACAAAGCAACAAAUGUUUUCCCCUGGACACUGCUGCACCCCACCUAACCCCAAGCCAAUGGGCUGCAUCUUUUAUAUCCACUGACAGGGCAGUUUGCAGCAUCUCGCCUGGAAGUUGGCACCUCUGACAGUGCGGCACUCCCUCAGUACUGACCUUCGGAUAGUGUGGCACUCCCUCAGUACUGAACCUCCG